CGACUCUGCUGGCCUCAAUUUAGCUGCAGAAGAGACGCUGAUCUUCACCAACUUCCAGUGGAAUCAUGAAGUCCCAUCAGAUCUCUGCCUUCUGGCUCAAAAUGUCAACAGACCAGACCAGUGCUGUUUUAGACACUAUCCUGGAGAACUGCACAUAAAGCAGAUAACUGGAUAUAAAGAGACCAGAAAGGACUGCACUAAACCUGGAAUUAUAAUUUACACCAGAAAGGAGAAUGAAGUGUGUGUCGAUCCCAAACAUCAUUGGGUUCAGGAGAUCAAGAAGAAGCUGGAUCACCCCCUCAGUAAGCCGGAUCAGUAACGCUUCCUGACUGCUUGACAAAACACAAAGAAUUAUUUCAUUUUGGCUUUUGGUUAUUUCAUUUUGGCUUCUGCAUUAAUUCUCCAGGAACAUUACCUUCUGUCGUCUUUCAAAACAUACAUUUUUACUGCAGUUUAUAUUUAAUGUUGUGUAAACAGGUAAAUUCAAAUAUAUGGCUUUGCAUGCAUGUUACUGAAUAAAAAAAUAUCGGAAGGUUA